ACGCCACAUGGUUGUACUCGGCGUAAAGGUCAAAUACGCCACAUAGUCGUUAUAGGGGCGAAGUGGUUAAACACAGACCUUCAUCUGUAGUGGUGCAGACAUAUAUCAAAAUCUUGCUCAAUUCCAAAAGGGCCAUGAUAGCAGAAAUUGCGUAACGUCUGGAUAAACAUUUGAGCAAAUCUUUAUUGUUAUGUAGGAUCCUGACUUAUUGGAUUCUGAGAUUCCAUUUUGGGUCCACGUUUGAUAAUAUAAACAAAACGUGUACAAAGUGAAAAACAAAACAAAAUUUGGUCCACUCAUAAUUUUUCCUACUCCUAAAUCUUAAUGCAUAUCUAUGUAGUUUGACAUGACGGUCGUGCGAGUAGCUGAUUUUAGCUGAUGCAGCUAUCUAAUUUAAAUGACACAAUAUUUUGGCCACGUACAUAUUGAUUAUGAAACAAUGUAUUAAUUCUAAUUUCACAAGCUGGCCAUCAUACUCACUCUUAGGGUUAGAUUAAUCAAAAGAAUGGUCUCUAAGAUAAAAAUUGUUUCGUCAUUUAUUAUUUCAAUUUUAUAAAGAUUGAUUGACAGGGGCUCAAAUCGCCGAGAGCAUGAUUUGCUACAACAGAAGAGCGAUAAAAAUUCAAACGAAUGUAUUAACCUUAAUAUCCAAAGAUAUUUCCUACCUGUUCUCCUUGUUAGCCUUGAUCAAGAUAAGGAAUGCAUCUAGAUUCCUGCGUUUUUAAGUUGAUAAUAUAUCAAGCAAUUAUUUCAACGUAAUGAAUGACACGCCUGAGGGCUGCGGCAUAAUGUGGAAUUCUCUACUGACUCAAUAAUUAUAAUGUUCAGCAGCACGCGGUGAAUUAAAUUAGAGAAGAAAAGGACGUUAAGAAGAUCCUGCUUGACUGCAAUGCACCAUUAAAUACAUCACAACACAGUGUAGCAUUUUUGUCUUCAGAGACUGGAGUUCAGAAAAACAGAAAUUUUUCAAUAUUGUUUUCCGUGGUUGCAACUCUUGCUCAUUUUAAAUGCUUAUAUGUACUUUCAUUAGACGCAACUUGUGAGAACAUUGCAUUACCUACUUGUCAAUACAUUGAGGGCGGCCUGUAACUAACUAGCAAGUGAUAAGCCAAGGUAAUGACGAUACAAUUAUGAACAUCCAAUGUGGAGUUCCAAACGGUUGCGAAGCUCAUUUACUACAUUAAACAUACUUUAAUUUUGCCUUCCCAUCCUGGAUAAUUCGAAAUCGUUAAAUGUUCCUUAAUCACGCACACAAAUUGUCCACGCAAAUUGUAAUGGAAUGAAAUGUCAAAAAUAUAGCUCAGUAUUUUCAUAGUAAAAAAUUUAACCUCAUUAUACAUAAAUAUAUUAUUAGAGAAAGUAUGUAGUGGCUUGAAGUAAUAUGGUCAAUCAGAAUAUUCGGCAUUAGGUUAGGUUACCAAUACUAACUAAUACUGACAGCUGGACUCCUUGGAAGAGGUUUUAGUGGAUAGAUUUAUGAGCAAAUUAUUUAAUUCCAUGUAAUUUGUGGGCCUCUUCCUCCACAACUUUAAUGCUGACUUACCUUCCAACCUCCAUCACAUAAUUACGUACUUUCUGCCAUGUCAAACGCAAAGCUUUUAAAAUUUUGUCAAAAAAAUUAAAGUAGACAAGAACCACACAACAACACUGAGUCAUGCAUUGCAUGUAACGAGAUUUUCCCUGCUGCAUGAGAUCAAACAUGGCCAAGAUUAUCUGAGAGAGAGAUUUAAAUCGGCUUGGUUUCCAACCUGACUGCAUUACAAUAUCAAAUGUGAAGGUUUGACGGACGGUUUUUGAAAGCAUGCGAAGCUCAUCACUUUCAAUUAAAUCUCCUGAGAUGUGAUGCCUUUGAUGUUCUUCUAAGGAGCUAUUAAAGUCUAUUCUGCCAGUUAAAAUCUUAAUGCAGCCGCCCAGACCUGCUAACUAAUAUGUAAGAGUUUUUAUUCGUGAAAAUUCCACAAGCUGGAGGUCUCCUUACUCACCAUACUACAAAAAGAAAAAGAUAAUUACAUUUAUUAGAUAAACUCCUCUUUUACAGCAUUCUCGUAAAUAAUUUGCAUUUAUUUUUAUAAUGUUCUGAAAUAAAUCUAAAAAUAACGUAAAAAUGGAAUGGCUGUCCCGAGGGUUGGGGUCAUUCUCAGUCAUUUUCAGUUGGAGUGUGUCGGCAUUCUUGCUGAUUGUUGACAACGGAACAUUGUCCUUUGUCCUCCUCUAUUAUGAAGCAUACCUGGCUGACAGUACGAGUUGAACUUUCUCUCAACUUGAGCGUGAAGAGCAUGACAUGAGGUGGUGUUGGGAAAGAGAAAGCAUUGACAUUUGAGCCCAGGCCUUGCCUUGGUCCCACUGACUCCGUCCAUAUGUCAUCCGUGACAAUGCAGGCAGGAUAAACCGUACAAUUUGCGACGCGAUAUGGUGGCACUGCAUCCCUUGAAGCAAUCUCGCCGUUGACAGUCGGUGGCCUGUGCCGCUGCUACUCUCCUCCCUGUAUUGAAUUUCAGUUGAGAGGUUGAGCUGCGCGAGGUGAUGUUGAUGUUGAUGUUGACAAACGGUUAUUGCAUUGGAACAUUGUAUGGUUGACCGUGAGAAUGAAUUUCAAAUUUGUUAAGCAUUCUCUCUCUCUCUGCUCCAAAGUGGAUUGCGACUGGGUGGUCGGGUGAUAAAGAUCCCCCCCACAAAGUUGCCCGGAAACGCACGUUUUGGGGUAUAUGAAUGGUUAUAUCUUGACCAGGAAAUUUUUUAAAUCCUCAAAAUUUUAAAUUUAGAAUCAGUAUGAGUUUCUGAUUCCAAAAAUAUAAAAAUUUCCUAACCACACCCCCUGGGGAAGUGCCUUCCCCCACAGGGGGUGUGGUCAUCAAAAUUUUCAGGAGUGCAUUCCUUGGCCACCCUGAAUUAUAAAUAUGUAUAUUUUUAUGGGGUUACAUCCCCAGGGACUUUUGGGACCUGCCUUGGUCUUAAUUUACACUGUGAGACGGACAGAUUGAGUGGUGGUGGUGGUGGCUGUCUCAAACUUGUCUGCUGCCGAUACAAGUUGAGACUUGUUAUUUAGUGCGAAUAAGUAAACACACAGGCAGUGAGACGAGAUUUUUUCAGCUGUGAUUAUUUUUCUGUCCAGUUUAUCAUCGAUAAGUGCAUUAUCAAAAACGAUUCAGGUAAUUAUUUAUCAUAAUUUCAACUGUUGAAUCUCUCUUAUGUCAUUUCUUCAUAUAUUUUAGAGUGUUUAUUGGAAAAUGUCGAGGAAACGAGAGUCGAAAGAAAGGAGGGACGGAUGGGAGCAACUAGAUUUGAAUGGUGGUUUUGAGGUUGAUGGCGAAUUCUACGCCACACUUGAUGAAUAUGAGGAGACUUGUGAAGCUAAGCGGAAAUCCACUGUAUCUGUGACCCCAGCCCAGUCGACCUCCUCGAGCAAGGAAAACGGUGGGGACGAUGACGAUACUUUUGACGACGGACUCACUGUUGAUGGCGUUUACUACGCAUCAGUUGAAGCGUAUAUGGCUUCAGAAGGAAGUGUUCCACCUCCCCCGUUGCUGAGGAAAGAGCCUCCCCCUCCAAGUGUGACCGUGUGGGCAACCACCUCCUCCUCUUCAGGAAGAAAGCGUCUCACCCCAACUACAUCAGCUCGUGUCCCUCUUCGUACCGUUUCCGCCUCUGCUACUUCGAUCCGUCCACGAAUUAUCUCGUACCACGAGUAAGCACGGAGAAUCAAGAGGAGGAGACAAAAAAGGUGCCAAAACGGGCAGCAAAGCCGUUGCAACCGUACAGUGAUUAUGAUGAUGACGAAGAAGAGGUUGACGCUCAUGCCCUGUUCUCGUUCGGUGAAACUCCUCCGGAAGAGAAAAGUAUUGAACAGGUGGAUGAGUUGGAAAUAAGUGAGCCAGUGGCAUCUACUUAUUCAUCCUCUGGACCUGCUUCUAAUCCACCACUGUAUUCGCGCAACCCAGAAAUUGAAGAGUACCGGAUCCAGUUGGUCGAAUUUGCUAGGAAGAAUGUCACAGGGAAGAAGGAAGAUAAUUUGGAGAAAAUGCUCGAACUUUUGGAAAAUGCUCAAUGGAGAGUUGGGCGAGCAGGACAGACUAGACACGAUAACUGGAGAAGUCAUCCUGACGAUGUCUACUUUGAAAAUGGACAAGGAUAUUACAAUAAA